rnacentral:lncRNA from 1 species
ACCAGUAUUAAAUUUACAACUUUGGUUUCAAGGUCAAAAUGAAUAAAUAAAAAUAAAUAAAUAAAAAAGACAAUAAGUAAAUAAACAAAACAACAAAUGAGAUUUUUAGAUUCUUGUAGCCGCUUCAAAUGUGGGAUUACAACCCCUUCUUUCUUCUUUCGACUCCCUAUUUUUUUUAUUGUGUCACGAGAUUUAAGUUUUAGCCUUUCUUUCAGAGCUUGACUCGAAAGGAUAGGUCUCAUUGUCCCAUGAUGGAUAUGCAAAAGGGAAGAGUCCGCGUAGGACUCGAAUGAUUUCCAUGCAAAGGAGGAAAAAUAAAGCACAUUAGUACAUAAUCAAACCAAGAAAGAAAGAAGAGAAUAAUUGUAAAGGAAAUUAACAUGUGAUCAACCAUGGAGGAAAACUACAGGUAAUUAGGACACGAUCAACAAAGAAAGAAAGAAAAAUUGACACGUGAUUAACUAAAAGAAAUAACAUAAUACGAUCCUAAUCAGUAAUCAAGAGCCAAUGGGGAACAAUAAGAUAUGUUUAGAUCAGUUCAGCAGAGAGACACCAUAUGCAAUUUAAAGAUGGACUUCACAUUUUAGCUAUUAAAAUAUUUCUCAAAAAUGAAACAGAAGAAAACAUUCUUAAGAAAUGCAGAGGCAAAAUAACAUUUUCAUAACCAACUUAGACUAAUCAUUUAAACAUACCAACAAUAUACCGAACUCAAAUUCGAUGAAACCAAUUAAAGAAAAAGAGAAUAAAUAUUUGGGUGAAAGCAAUUUGGUCCCCCAAAAAAAAAACCGUGUUUGGAAAUACAUUCACUCACUGGGUAAGUCAAAAUGAAAUAAUUCGAGAGGCUUUAUAUAUUUGCCGCGUUUGAGCAUAUUUGAUAAUACGAAGCAAAAGAGAAGAAAGUAAAACACUCGUUUUGAAUCAUUUAAGGUCCUCUCCAUCCCCUCUUUUGGUGAAUCAUCAAGAUUCGGGCGUCAAAAUGUCACAGGGGAGCCUUAAAUUAGAGUAAUGAGCCGAAAACUUAACUAAAUAAUACUCAUGCUAACACAACAAGUUGAAUCUGCUACGUUGAAAUAGUAAGCUUACACUUAUAAUAUUCACGAUCAAAUGAAGAACUAAGAGGGAGUUCUACUCAUGAUGUUACCAGUUCAGCCACAUCAAACUAACGACGACAAAACCAGACGAUAUCAAAUAUUAACCACGAACAAAACAUCCUUAACCCUAAACUAUUAAACAAAAUUUCAAGUGCAGAACUUUAACCAUGAAAUUAAGUAUAGCGAGACAUCAAUAGCCUGAGACAAAUCAAAACAUCCUACUUGACCACGAAAAUAACUAUAAUGACCCGUCAUUAGCCCGAACUAUUUAACAGACUUAGAGAAAGGAACUUUGUUCCGAAGUUAACUUAUAUUCAAAUAUCAUGAAUCCGAAACUGUCAAAACAAAAUUAAAAGCACGAAACAUUACUACGAAACCAGCUUAUUCAAGACAUCAUUAACCCGGAAUUGGUAAACAAAUUCAAAGCAUGAAUCUUUGUCACGAAAACUGACUAUCCAUCUCAAACAGUAAGCGUUAUGCCAUGAAUUCAUCAACAACAUCAAGACUAGGCAACAAGUUUCAAAACUGAGCCGGAAUCAGCAGAAAUUGCACAUAGGCAGCCAUGACAAAGGUAAUCUUAACGUAACAGUGCAACCAAAUACUUCUUUACUAAAAAUAAACCAUGGCCUUUGAGGCCUCUACCACAAGCAAUUUCCAGAACAAUCAAAAUUUCGACAGAGACUAUAGUAGCUACUCCUAGUAAGACAAACUACGACUGUGAUUGCAACAGGUAUGAAGAAAAGAGAUGAAGAAGAAAGCGAUCAAACUAAAAGGAAAGUAGAGUGUAUUUACCUCCUUAAGGGCAGCAAACGGGACUACGAGCUAUCGUUAGGAUUUCGAUCGCCACCCAAAGAGCUUCAACGAUUCAGGCGCAAAUAUUUUUCAAGAACGCGUAUAUUUUUGUUAUCUAGAAAAUAUUUUUUCUUGAGAGCCCUCUCUUUUUCUCUCACGAUUUUCUCUUCCUCGAUUUUUCCGAACCCAAAUUUUCCCUUGAAUUUUUCUAACACCCAAAGUUUCGACUCUCAAAAUCUUUUAUUUUUGAAUCAAAAUCGACCAAAACUCAAUUUUCGAAUCCAAAAAAAAAAAAAUCCUCCUCAGAAUUUUCAACCCACGAUUUUUGAAUCCUAGUUCUCAAAAAAGACCCCCCCCCCCCCCCCCGUUCUUAUAUAGAAGACAGAAAUUAGGGGUAUCUUAGGGAUUUUUUCAGAGGGAAUUCGAAAUUCAAAACCCCUAGGAUCCCUGGAUCGUAACCAAUUUGGAUUUUCUUCCACAAAUCCGAAACUAGUGUACCAAUCAAAUGUGGGGAAGAUAAAAAUAUACCCAAGAACCAAUGAAAAUUUACCAAAUAUGUACGAAUCCAUACGAGUUAUCCCAAAAUUUGCGAAAUUGUUGGAGACGACACCUAGGAUGUUUUUCUAGAAGCUUCGAGGUUCUUCCUUGCUGUACUAUCGCGUGAGGUGCGUAAAGGAGGCUACAAAUGGGUUGGGUACGGAUUGUUGGUUGUGAGAAUUGGGUUACGUCUUUGCUGAUAUUGGUUGAGCGCUAGGUCGAUUUUGGGGGAGCUGGGUUCGACUGUUCGCGAUUUGGAAUCCAGAAGCGUGUUUGCUGUUGUUUGCUAGGUUAAGGAGGAAAAGAAAAUGGGCCGGGUCGCCUAGAAUGGGCCACUGUUUGUGGUGUGUUAUUGGGCUGAUAGGGAUUGGGUUUUAAAUGGCUGAAAUUGUUGGUUUGGGGUUAUUUAAUUGGAUUUGGCAAAUUGUUUAAGUUUGGGCCAAUUUGAAAAUCAAUUGGACAAUUGCAUCGCAAUUGUGGCCAAUUCGAUUUCAAAUAUCGCCAAAUCUGAU